rnacentral:rRNA from 1 species
GAUGAACGCUGGCGGCGUGCCUAAUACAUGCAAGUCGAGCGAACGGACGAGAAGCUUGCUUCUCUGAUGUUAGCGGCGGACGGGUGAGUAACACGUGGAUAACCUACCUAUAAGGCUGGGAUAACUUCGGGAAACCGGAGCUAAUACCGGAUAAUAUUAUGAACCGCAUGGUUCAAAAGUGAAAGACGGUCUUGCUGUCACUUAUAGAUGGAUCCGCGCUGCAUUAGCUAGUUGGUAAGGUAACGGCUUACCAAGGCAACGAUGCAUAGCCGACCUGAGAGGGUGAUCGGCCACACUGGAACUGAGACACGGUCCAGACUCCUACGGGAGGCAGCAGUAGGGAAUCUUCCGCAAUGGGCGAAAGCCUGACGGAGCAACGCCGCGUGAGUGAUGAAGGUCUUCGGAUCGUAAAACUCUGUUAUUAGGGAAGAACAUAUGUGUAAGUAACUGUGCACAUCUUGACGGUACCUAAUCAGAAAGCCACGGCUAACUACGUG